rnacentral:tRNA from 1 species
CUGUAGCUCAGCAGUAAAGCACUUGCCUGACAUGCAUGAGGCCCUGGGUUCAGUGCCCAGCAG